GAUUUAACGUAUAGGGACUAA
rnacentral:miRNA from 1 species